GACGAACGCUGGCGGCGUGCUUAACACAUGCAAGUCGAACGGAAAGGCCCUGCUUUUGUGGGGUGCUCGAGUGGCGAACGGGUGAGUAACACGUGAGUAACCUGCCCUUGACUUUGGGAUAACUUCAGGAAACUGGGGCUAAUACCGGAUAGGAGCUCCUGCUGCAUGGUGGGGGUUGGAAAGUUUCGGCGGUUGGGGAUGGACUCGCGGCUUAUCAGCUUGUUGGUGGGGUAGUGGCUUACCAAGGCUUUGACGGGUAGCCGGCCUGAGAGGGUGACCGGCCACAUUGGGACUGAGAUACGGCCCAGACUGCUACGGGAGGCAGCAGUGGGGAAUAUUGCACAAUGGGCGGAAGCCUGAUGCAGCAACGCCGCGUGCGGGAUGACGGCCUUCGGGUUGUAAACCGCUUUCGCCUGUGACGAAGAGUGAGUGACGGUAAUGGGUAAAGAAGCAACGGCUAACUACGUG
rnacentral:rRNA from 1 species